GUGCUCGCUUUGGCAGCACAUAUACUAAAAUUGGAAUGAUACAGAGAAGAUUAGCAUGGGCCCUGCACAAGGAUGAGAAGCAAAAUAAGUCAUAUUUCCGGAUUAA